rnacentral:rRNA from 1 species
CAGCAGCCGCGGGAAUACAGAGGGUGCGAGCGUUAAUCGGAAUUACUGGGCGUAAAGCGCGCGUAGACGGUUUGGUAAGUCAGAUGUGAAAUCCCUGGGCUCAACCUGGGAACUGCAUUUGAUACUGCCUGGCUAGAGUAUCGAAGAGGGAAGUGGAAUUUCCGGUGGAGCGGUGAAAUGCGUUGAGAUCGGAAGGAACGCCCGUGGCGAAAGCGAGGCCCUGGACCCUUACUGACGCUGAGACGCGAAAGCCAGGGGAGCGAACGGGAUUAGAUACCCCGGUAGUCCCUGUCUCUUAUAC